UACGUAGGGGGCUAGCGUUGUCCGGAAUCAUUGGGCGUAAAGCGCGCGUAGGCGGCCCGGUAAGUCCGUUGUAAAAGUCAAAGGCUCAACCUUUGAAUGCCGAUGGAUACUGCCGGGCUAGAGUCCGGAAGAGGCGAGUAGAAUUCCUGGUGUAGCGGUGGAAUGCGCAGAUAUCAGGAGGAAUACCCAUAGCGAAGGCAGCUCGCUGGGACGGUACUGACGCUAAGGCGCGAAAGCGUGGGGAGCGAACAGG
rnacentral:rRNA from 1 species